CAACCAAGGCUAUGUGCUGAGUUUCGAAAUCAUCUCUUCUACCAACUUCAACAUGGUUCCGGGUAUUCGCUCUCCUUCUUGAUCAAUCUCCCGCAUAAUUUGCUCAACAAUCUCAAUCUUUGACUGUUUGUUUUUGAUGACGUAGCCAGAGCAGUCCCUUAGUAGUAGCAAUAGCUCUCUAGCCAUUUCUUUAGCCCUCCGUGUCCCGUCUACGCUCACUUGAAGCAAUCCGGGCAUCACUCCUUCUCUCAGUAUCAUUCCUCGGUUUGUCUCUCUGUCGUUGUUGCAUACACCAAGUAAUAUUCCUACGGCGUGCUCUUUACACUGGGCUGACCCUUCUUCAAUGGCUUCCACCAGAACCCUAAUUGCUCCACCGAUGCUGGAAACAGAUUCUGGUGAAUGAGAAGUUAUGUUUUCAAGCAAAGCUACUGCCUUAUCAGCCAAUUCGGAAGAUUUCUCACAACAGUUGAUGACUUGAAGCAAAGCAUACGGUGCUCCAGAAGCUAUAACCAG
rnacentral:lncRNA from 1 species